rnacentral:rRNA from 1 species
GAGUUUGAUUCUGGCUCAGGAUGAACGCUGGCGGCGUGCUUAACACAUGCAAGUCGAACGAAGCGGGAAGAAAGAAGUUUUUCGAAAUGGAUUUUUUCUUUGCUUAGUGGCGGACGGGUGCGUAACACGUAGGUAACCUACCCUGUGCUUCGGAAUAACUCCGGGAAACCGGUGCUAAUGCCGAAUAAUAUCGCCUGUCGGCAUCGAGAGGCGAUCAAAGAAUGUUGGCACAGGAUGGGCCUGCGCCGGAUUAGCUGGUUGGUGAGGUAACGGCUCACCAAGGCGACGAUCCGUAGCCGACCUGAGAGGGUGAUCGGCCACACUGGAACUGAGACACGGUCCAGACUCCUACGGGAGGCAGCAGUGGGGAAUAUUGCACAAUGGGGGAAACCCUGAUGCAGCAACGCCGCGUGAGCGAUGAAGGCUUUCGAGUCGUAAAGCUCUGUCCUAUGGGAAGAUGAUGACGUACCAUAGGAGGAGCCCC